CCUACGGGUGGCAGCAGUCGAGAAUCAUUCACAAUGGGGGAAACCCUGAUGGUGCGACGCCGCGUGGGGGAAUGAAGGUCUUCGGAUUGUACACCCCUGUCAUGUGGGAGCAAAUUAAAACGAUCGUACCACACUAUGCAGACCCUGCUAACUCUGUUCCAGCAGCCGCGGUAAUACAGAGGUCUCAACCGUUGUGCGGAAUAACUGGGCGUAAAGCGUGCGUAGGCUGUUUCGUACGUCGGGUGUGAAAGGCGCGGGCUCAACCCGCGGACGGCACAUGAUACUGGGAGACUAGAGUCAGGGAGGGGGAACCGGAAUUCGCGGUGUAGCAGUGAAAUGCGUAGAUAUCGAGAGGAACACUCGUGGCGAAGGCGGGUUCCUGGACAGUAACUGACGCUGAGGCACGAAGGCCAGGGGAGCGAAAGGGAUUAGAUACCCUUGUAGUC
rnacentral:rRNA from 1 species